rnacentral:pre_miRNA from 1 species
UGGUGUUUACAUUACAUGAUUCGUACGUUACACUGAACAGAUUUCUACAUUAAUGAUCUGUUCAAUGGGAUGUGUGAAUUAUGUGUGUAAAAU